UAACGCUUCCAGCACCAAUCCCUCCUCGUAUUCAUCGUUCUCGAUUCGUCUUCCACAUGAGAGUUUCCGUUAUUUUUUUUUUUGAGAAUGAGAGUUUCCGUUAUUAAAGAGUUCACUUGCGACUCAUUAAUGGGGAAGGCAAGCUUGAUCUUCCGGACAAUCUCAUCUCAUCUAAACCUUCUGAUCACUCCUGGACCUUCAAAGGAGAAGCUUUUGAAGGGAAUGAAGAGGACAAGGCACUUAUGGGGCUGCUUGAUGAGUCGAAAGAUCAGGUGGCAUCAGAAAGUAGCAUACCUCUGUCACCCCAGUGGCUUUGAAGUAUUAUUUCAAAGGAAUUACGAAGAUGGUUGCUGCGAAUUUGUUUCAAACAUUUCCGUUUCCAAAUCAGGAUAGCAAGGUCCCAGAAAUGUACGACCCAGAAGAGGAGGAACCGACCAUGGAACCUGCUUGGCCUCAUCUUCAGAUUGUGUACGAGUUUUUAUUGAGAUUUGUGGCUUCACCGGAGACAGAUGCCAAGCUUGCAAAAAGAUAUAUUGAUCAUUCAUUUGUGUUGAGAUUGCUUGAGUUGUUUGAUUUUGAGGAUCAGAGAGAGAGGGAUUACUUAAAAACAAUUCUCCACCGCGUUUAUGGUAAGUUCAUGGUGCAUCGGCCAUUCAUUAGGAAAGCUAUCAAUAAUAUCUUCUAUCGGUUCAUCUUUGAGACAGAGAAGCACAAUGGGGUUGCUGAGUUGCUUGAAAUAUUGGGCAAUAUAAUUAAUGGGUUUGCUUUACCUUUGAAGGAGGAGCACAAGCUAUUCCUUGUCCAUGCUUUGAUUCCCCUUCAUAAGCCAAAGUGUGUAUCUAUGUACCACCAGCAACUGUCAUAUUGCAUUACUCAAUUUGUGGAAAAAGAUGCCAAGUUGGCUGACACUAUGAUUCGAGGUCUUUUAAAGUAUUGGCCCAUAACUAAUAGUUCAAAGGAGGUUAUGUUCCUUGGUGAAUUGGAGGAAGUUCUUGAAGUCACACAGGGAGCAGAGUUUCAACGCUGCAUGGUCCCUCUAUUCUGUCAAAUUGGUCGCUGCCUCAACAGUUCACAUUUUCAGUGGCUUUGAUCAGGUGGCAUCAGAUCAGAUCAGGUAUUAUUUCAUGCUACUUUGAAGUUGCUUGUUAGUCGGUGUCAUUACUAAGUUGUUGGUAAUCUCUUUCAGUGUCUUUGGAUUCCUACAAUUGGUAUUGGCGCUGGACCUUUUUGCAGCGGACAGUGAAUGUAGAAGACAGUGUAUAUAUACUUGAUAACCUUGUUCCGGAUAGCUGGAUCUUUGCCGCUCAAUCACCAGGUUAUCGCAAAUCAACGAUGUGCGAAGUUGCGGAGGAACUCCACCCACCAAUGUUUCAUGGCAAUUUUAACUGCUCCCAUUUGUAUUGUGGAUGCUUCUACUUUAUGCUUGUAAGAGACAUUAGCUGCUCCCAUUUUGUAGUACUUCACUGCCUUCCAUUAAUGCACCAUAUGCUAGUGUAUAGUAACCUUAAAGGGGCUGAUGUACUUGAAUGGAUGAUUGAAUUUAUAUAUAUGCUAUCAUGGUUACAAGUAUUGG